UGGGGAAUUUUCCGCAAUGGGCGCAAGCCUGACGGAGCAAUACCGCGUGAGGGAGGAAGGCCUUUGGGUUGUAAACCUCUUUUCUUAAGGAAGAAGAACUGACGGUACUUAAGGAAUCAGCAUCGGCUAACUCCGUGCCAGCAGCCGCGGUAAUACGGAGGAUGCAAGCGUUAUCCGGAAUUAUUGGGCGUAAAGCGUCCGCAGGCGGCACUAUAAGUCUGCUGUCAAAGACCGCAGCUCAACUGCGGAAAGGCAGUGGAAACUGUAGAGCUAGAGUACGGUAGGGGUAGAGGGAAUUCCCAGUGUAGCGGUGAAAUUCGUAGAUAUUGGGUGGAACACCAGUGGCGAAAGCGGCUCUCUGGUCCGGAUCUGACGCUGAGGCGCGAAAGCGUGGGGAGCAAACAGGAUUAGAUACCCCCGUAGUCC
rnacentral:rRNA from 1 species